GCUUGUUACCCUAGUCAAGGGCCACAAUUGAUUCCCGUCCAACUCGCAAGUUCUCGAAAAUAAAUAAACAGGUAAACAACGUAACGUGGGGUCUGCUGGCUAUAGAUUUUUGCUAACCAUAUUCCCGUAAUCGUCACAGUCCUCCACCUCGAUUGUCGUACCAACCUUCGUGUCCAGUAAUCCAAAUGUUGAUAGCGAUCCGGCUUGCAGAGCUCAGAUAUAGAACUAAGCUAGAUAGAUGCCCAUCUACCAAGUCUUAACCAUUUUAGUUUCAACGACUUGAAAAGCUUCUUCAAUUCUUAAAAUCGCCUCUAAUGGCGGAGCCUUCACAGUUCGAUCCUGAUCACGUUCUUGCUCUUAAAUUCCCUGAGGCAGUCAAUCUACGUUUAUGCCGAAAGAGAUGCUGCGGUUUAUGCCUUGGGCGUUGGAGCUUGUGGCCGCGAUGCUAUUGAUGCUGACGAGCUUAAAUUUGUUUAUCAUGAAAAUGGGCAGCAAUCUAUUCAGGUCUUGCCAACAUUUGCUGCUCUACUUUCACUUGGAUCGAUGACAAAUGGUAUAGAUUUGCCUGGCCUGCAAUAUGAUCCACGUCUUCUUCUGCAUGGACAGCAAUAUAUAGAACUGUAUAGGCCAUUUCCAUCAAGUGCAUCGAUACAAAAUAAAGUUAGUCUCGCUGGAUUGCAUGACAAAGGUUUGUGUUCAUUAUAGGAGACACUUUCAACUGAAAACCUUGUUGCUGCACACAUUUACUUUGGUGCGAAGCCCAUGGUAGUAUAGUUUCAAAUGCUCAACAUGUCCUGAACUCACAUGUAGAAUUAGUAUGAAUUAGUGGUUUAUCUCACAGGUCAUAGUUUUGGGUUGGGAACGUAAAUGAAAGUAAAAAUCUCACAGAUCUUGAAACAAGUCUAUCUGGAAGUUCACACCCAUUUCAUGAAAUGUAGUAGAAGUACAGUUAUUGACAUUGUAUAUGAUAAUUGUUUCUCCUAAUAAUUCAGGUAAGGCAGCUAUUGUUGAGAUUGAAACAAAAAGUUAUGAGAAAGAGUCUGGUGAAUUAUUAUGCAUGAACAGGUGAGUGCAUUCUUAAAAUAUCCAAUUCUUCACUGCAAUGUUAUUGAUCUUAGAUGAGAUACUAUUUGUUUUGCACUCUGCAGAUCAACUGUUUACCUUCGAGGCGCUGGUGGCUUCUCAAACCCAAGUCACCCAUUUUCUUACUCCAAUUAUCCAAACAACCAGGUUACAGCUGCUAAAAUUCCAAAAAGUCAACCUUUUGCAGUAUUUGAAGAUCUUAUUCAACCAUCUCAGGCAAGCAGUACAGUUCCCGUUACUGCCAGAACAGAAAUUUGCAGUGAUUAAAAUUGAACGCACACUGUUAAUUGUUUCAAUUUAUAUGCUACUUUCACAUGAAACUAUAGUGAAAUUUGGGAUAAUAAACAUGGAGAGGGAAAGAAGUGCUACCCUUUCUAGCUGGCAAUAUUGGUGACCAAGAGAACAAAUAUCAUGCGCAUUUUUUAAAAUAAAUUUUCCUAUGGUUUUGCUAUUUUAAAAGGUGUGAUGCUUGAUGCUGACUAUUACUUCAAAGUUUGGCAAGCACUGAGAGCAUAGUACUUCCUUUAAUUGGGUGAAAGCUUAUGAUGAAACCUGACUUGCUGUCUUCAUCAUUUCUGCUUCUAUUGAACUCUUAAUAGUGCAUUAAACUAGUAACUCAUGUUUCUUUAUCUUUAAUAAAUUUGUGAUAUUGCCAGCACUACAUUAAAGUUACUUCUUGAUGUUCUCACAUAUAUGGCUCACAAUUUCAAAGGCCUAGUCUCAGUGGUUUCUUAAGGAGUUUACUUUUAUUCCUUCUCCAUUUAGAUUGUGCAUUUGAGAUAUCUAUUCUUGAUUUUGUCUUUCUCCUCUUUUUUUUAGGCAUUGUUAUAUAGGCUAUCUGGUGAUUAUAAUCCUCUCCAUUCAGAUCCUAUGAUUGCUAAAGUUGCGGGGUAGGUAUACCUGUCAAUGUCAAUCUCCUUAUGGCUAUGAUUUUGCGAGUAUGGCUUCCUUUCAUUUACCUUUUGACAUAGUGGCCGCUUUGCAUUGUUUUUAUUUCUAUAUUCAUUCGGCAUCCACAUACACCCUGAACUUUGAUUUAAUCUAUGUUCCAAAGGAAACACAAAAUAUUUGAUCUAAUCUUGUGUUAUCUCAUGGUGAAGAUUCUCCCGUCCGAUAUUGCAUGGGCUAUGCACACUUGGAUUUGCAGUUAGGGCCAUCAUCAAAUGCAUUUGUAGAGGAGAUGCAACCAUUGUUAAGAACAUAUUUGGGCGAUUCCUUUUACAUGUGUACCCUGGUGAAACCUUGAUCACUGAAAUGUGGCUUGAUGGUUUGAGGGUUAUAUAUCAGGCAAAGGUAAAAGAAAGAAACCGGGCAGUUUUGUCAGGCUUUGUGGGUCUCCAUCAUUUAACAUCAUCGCUGUAAAUUAAUUUCAUAAGUAUCAAACAAGAGGAUUUGACUCUCUAAAUUUAUUUCUUAAAUAAUGGUUGCUAGACCUUAUCAUUGCAAGAGAGAAUUUGCUUGUUAAAGGAAUAAGAAUAGCUUUCAUGGUGUUCAAGAAAAGCGUGAACUGUGGUUUUAUUACAGAUUUACGGUGAUCCUCUUAUUUUCAUUCCAGAUAAACAAAUUUUAUCGAUACAAUUACAAAGAUCUUUGCUUCUGUUGUGGACUAGUUGUCUGACUAAUGAAAAUGCUUAUUAUUCAUUUGCCGAAGUAUAUAAAUUUCUAAG
rnacentral:misc_RNA from 1 species